rnacentral:rRNA from 1 species
CUACGGGGCGCUGCAGUGAGGAAUUUUGCGCAAUGGGCGAAAGCCUGACGCAGCAACGCCGCGUGAGUGAUGAAGGAUUUCGGUUCGUAAAGCUCUGUCAAGUGGGAAGAACCUGGUUUAUGUAAAUAGCAUAGAUCACUGACGGUACCACCGAAGGAAGCACCGGCUAACUCCGUGCCAGCAGCCGCGGUAAUACGGAGGGUGCAAGCGUCAUUCGGAUUUACUGGGCGUAAAGGGCGCGUAGGCGGCCAGAUAAGUCAGAUGUGAAAGCCCGGGGCUCAACCCCGGAAGUGCAUUUGAAACUGUUUGGCUUGAGUAUGGUAGAGGGAAGUGGAAUUCCUGGUGUAGCGGUGAAAUGCGUAGAUAUCAGGAGGAACACCGGUGGCGAAGGCGACUUCCUGGACCAAUACUGACGCUGAGGCGCGAAGGUGUGGGUAGCAAACAGGAUUAGAUACCCUGGUAGUC